ACGAGAUAUGGGGUCCCACGUAGUGUACGCUCAGAUACAACUCACAUUUCAGUAACAAACAGCUGUUUUGGCACAAAGCUCAGUUGGGUGGAUGCACUGCCUUUGGCGCUUAUGUCCAUGAGAACCUCCCCAGGGGCCAAGACACACUUGACACCCCAUGAGUUGCUGACAGGUAGGCCAAUGCCAGGGCCACCCAGGGAGGGAGGUCAUAUGCCCCCUCUGGAUGUCUGGCAGAUUGACUGUGACGAAUACAUGACUGCAGUGACUAACUUGUCCCGAGUUUUGUGUAAACAGGUACAGCUGGCCAAACCCGAAGCAACCAUCACCGAGACUCCAGCAGUACAGAUAGGGGAUUGGGUACGAGUGAAAGUUCACAAGAGAAAGUGGACUGAUCCCAGGUGGACAGGACCUUAUGAAGUGGUUGAGUGUACCUCCCACGCAGUCCAGCCAUUUUAGUGUGCUGUGGCUGUUGCUGCAUCCCCUGCUUAUGUGCAUUGAUCAACCGUCUCAUUACCACAGCCCAUACCAAAGAGAAAGACCCUCCGCCUUACCAAAUACCCCUGUUAGGUGAAGAUUUGGAGUCAGAUGAGGAAGAAGAGUUACAGGAGGUACAGGUAGAUGCGGAUGGGGGUUGUAGUGUGUAAUUGCAUCAUUUUGAUUGAGUUUAUACCUUAAAAGGUGUAAUCAUAGAUACCAUUAAUGUAAUGAAUUCUACGUUCUACACUUUUCUUGUUGCAGUAGUCAACCCUCUUAGCUGUUUGGGUUGUCAUGUCGAGUGUCCUGAUUGUCUUCACAGAUGCAGAACAUACUGCAGAUGCAGAGUGCAGGAAGUUUAUAAACUCACUCACAGUCACUGCCUGUUUGCAGUCGGUUAGUCACUCUGUUUACCGUUUAGCUCCUCCUUGCAGGUUUUAGAACAUCACUCAUUCAGUCAGGUAUUUGUCUGCUGCUUUGGCUACACCGUGUUCUGUAAAUUUUACCCUGAGGUCACAUAGUCGUGCUCAGCUGGAGCAAAGCUGUUUCGGGAAAGUGUACAAAGUUUUGUCGUCUUACUGUAACAUACUGUGUCAUAAUUUCCAGCUGUGUGCAUGUUUGAGCAACAGCCAAAAUGUGAUCAUCUAAUUGCUCAGGAUAAUAAAUGUGUGUGUGGAAAAUGUAGAAAACCACCUGAGAUAAUAAUAACAUGUACAAAAAUGUCAGCAAACUACAAUGUGCCAUGUGCUCUUCUUGUGGACCAUCAUGUGAGUGUAUCCGGAUUUAAUAUGUAUUAUUCCCUUUUUUAUUUAAGUUAUUUCACAUUAUACAGGCAAAGUUUGGGCAAUUUUUCCAUCUUGAAAUCAGUCCAGAGAUAUGAGAAUAAAUGAAUGAAUUAAGUUUUUAUUACUAUCUGUGUGUGUGUGUGUGUGUGUGUGUGUGUGUGUGUGUGUGUGUGUGUGUGUGUGUCGAGGUCAGUUAAUCCACAUUGUCUGUCUUAUGACUCUAAUUUAAGAAGUUCCUCAGACAUCAGAAAUACAGUUAAACAUUUUUAUUGUCCAAACUGAGAGUGUGGGAGGAAACCGGAGCACCCGGAGUAAACCCACGCAGACACAGGGAGAAACUC